rnacentral:sRNA from 1 species
UAUGACACCUGUUGUGUGUCCCAUCGAGC